CCCUUAGAUGUCCUGGGCCGCACGCGUGCUACACUGACGCCUACAGCGAGUACUUCCCAGCCCCGAGAGGCGGCUGGUAAUCAGCAAUAGGCGUCGUGAUGGGGAUAGAUCUUUGGAAUUCUGGAUCUUGAACGAGGAAUGCCUAGUAAGCGCAAGUCAUUAGCUUGCGUUGAUUAAGUCCCUGCCCUUUGUACACACCGCCCGUCGCUCCUACCGAUUGAGUGGUCCGGUGAAUCUUUCGGACUGUGACGCCGGUCUCGUGCUGAGUGUCGCGGAAAGUCAGGUGAACCUUAUCACUUAGAGGAAGGAGAAGUCGUAACA
rnacentral:rRNA from 1 species